rnacentral:rRNA from 1 species
ACACAUGCAUUGCUUAGUACGGCGAGUGAGCGGCAAAAGCUCAAAUUUGAAAUCUGGCACCUUCGGUGUCCGAGUUGUAAUUUGAAGAAGGUAACUUUGGAGUUGGCUCUUGUCUAUGUUCCUUGGAACAGGACGUCACAGAGGGUGAGAAUCCCGUGCGAUGAGAUGCCCAAUUCUAUGUAAAGUGCUUUCGAAGAGUCGAGUUGUUUGGGAAUGCAGCUCUAAGUGGGUGGUAAAUUCCAUCUAAAGCUAAAUAUUGGCGAGAGACCGAUAGCGAACAAGUACAGUGAUGGAAAGAUGAAAAGAACUUUGAAAAGAGAGUGAAAAAGUACGUGAAAUUGUUGAAAGGGAAGGGCUUGAGAUCAGACUUGGUAUUUUGCGAUCCUUUCCUUCUUGGUUGGGUUCCUCGCAGCUUACUGGGCCAGCAUCGGUUUGGAUGGUAGGAUAAUGACUAAGGAAUGUGGCUCUACUUCGGUGGAGUGUUAUAGCCUUGGUUGAUACUGCCUGUCUAGACCGAGGACUGCGUCUUUUGACUAGGAUGUUGGCAUAAUGAUCUUAAGCCACCCGUCUGAAAAAAGGGACCAAAAAAGGGGCCUAACCCUAAAGGAA